UACGUAGGUGGCAAGCGUUGUCCGGAUUUACUGGGUGUAAAGGGCGCGUAGGCGGGAUAGCAAGUCAGAUGUGAAAUGCCAGGGCUUAACUCUGGAGCUGCAUUUGAAACUGUUAUUCUUGAGUAUCGGAGAGGCAGGCGGAAUUCCUAGUGUAGCGGUGAAAUGCGUAGAUAUUAGGAGGAACACCAGUGGCGAAGGCGGCCUGCUGGACGACAACUGACGCUGAUGCGCGAAAGCGUGGGGAGCAAAC
rnacentral:rRNA from 1 species